UACGUAGGGUCCGAGCGUUGUCCGGAGUUACUGGGCGUAAAGCGCGCGCAGGCGGCGGUGUUGGCCCGGCGUGAAAGCCCCCGGCUCAACCGGGGAGAGUCGUCGGGGACCGCACCGCUUGAGGGCGGUAGGGGCUGGUGGAAUGCCUGGUGUAGUGGUGAAAUGCGUAGAGAUCAGGAAGAACACCCGUGGCGAAGGCGGCUCUCUGGGACGGUACUGACGCUGAGACGCGAAAGCGUGGGGAGCGAACAGG
rnacentral:rRNA from 1 species